rnacentral:rRNA from 1 species
CAGCCGCCGCGGGAAUACAGAGGGUGCGAGCGUUAAUCGGAUUUACUGGGCGUAAAGCGCACGCAGGCGGUCUGUCAAGUCAGAUGUGAAAUCCCCGGGCUUAACCUGGGAACUGCAUUUGAAACUGGCAGGCUAGAGUCUUGUAGAGGGGGGUAGAAUUCCAGGUGUAGCGGUGAAAUGCGUAGAGAUCUGGAGGAAUACCGGUGGCGAAGGCGGCCCCCUGGACAAAGACUGACGCUCAGGUGCGAAAGCGUGGGGAGCAAACAGGAUUAGAGACCCCUGUAGUCCCUGUCUCUUAUAC